GUUUUAUUGCUCUCCUGUGCAACCAUCAAAUGCAACUUGAGGCAAUACCCAACACACGCACACACACACACACUCGCCCAUCUCUGACUGAAACAAACAAAACAAACAAACACACACACACACUCCCUCUAACACCAUCCGGCUGCUUUCUGCCGUAACGAGGUGCAAUCAACACGCAAUGCUGACCAACACACACACACACACACACACACACACACACACACAGAGGCUGGUUGAAGGGUGAAGUCAGCCUCUGAUUGCAGAGGAGUUACAGAGUGUUGAAUAGUUUCUGUAUGACUGUGUGUGUGUGUGUGUGUGUGUGUGUGUGUGUGUGUGUGUGUGUGUGUGUGUUCUGUGUGUGUGUUUGUGUUGACCUCAUACUGCCAUGAUGUCACAUCUGUACUGUAAUAGUUGCAUGAACAGCAGCAGGCGUCCCAACACAGCCGAGUUUUCCACAUUCAUGUAGAAAAACAGUCGACCAAAGAAACACGAGAAACUUAAUUUUAAAACUUUUAUUUAUUUUUUGACUUUUUUUCUCUCGGCAUUAAAAAAAAAUCUUUUUAAACUCACCGAGGUCUCAUUUUUUGUAAAUUUAUAUUUUGUUUUAAAAAUCUAGAAUAAAACAGUUCAUGUGCAUUUACAGUGAACUAACUCCAGCCUCUGUUUGAUGCAGAUUUGACACCUUUGCAGAGCCUGCUGCAGAGUCUGGGAGUGAAUGAGAGGAACAGGAGUGCAGCCUCCAGCCAGGACACACCCCCUGCAGCACUAACACAGACAGCAGGUAGGGUCAUCACACCAGAUGUUUGCAGAUGACACAGUUCAUCACGCCCAUAAUUAAACAUGAGAGCGAGCUGCCUCUGAACUCUGCAGCACUCUCAGCACCAAAAUAUACAGACUAUUUAAAGUGUAAUAACAGACUCUAAACAAGUGCACCAAGUUGAAACUCAGUGCAAAACUCACACAGGUACAUGUAAAAGAUAACAAAUAAAUAAUCAGGACAUUGACAGAGAUGCUUCAACACUCUGCACCUCUGUGUGGCUGCUAAGUAUUGAUACACAAGAACCAUGCAAAAACAGUCUACAUUUUGAGACUGCAUGAACAAAUAAUCCUACUAGAUCUGAUCCUGAGCCAGGGGAACCAAAAAUUUCUUGGCAUCACAAAAAAAUAUCUGCUGAUACCUCCUAGUAACCAACAGAUUAAGUCAAUGCUCUUUAACCCCCAGCUUGUCCUGCAAAGAUCUCCUCUCAAACAGCAAACUUUCCAUUGACUUCACUCUUAAACCAGAUAUCAAUUUACUGAAAUAAUCCACCUGAUGCCUGGACUCACAAUUAACAGAUUAUGUCUGCAGACACUGCAGGCAGCCUCCGUGUUGGUACAGUGGUGAAAAGUUUGUUUGAAACUUUAUGCCUUUUCCAAUAACUCUCAUGCACUCAUACUAGAUCACUUAUGCCUAAAUUGCCUCAGUCAACAUCAUCUUAUCUUCAUGAUAAAAAGUUUUAAACCUGUUUUAAAUCAUUUAAAUCAUAGCAGAUCAAAUCUUAAAACUGGCCAGUUGUAAUGUAGUUUCUGUUAUUAUGCAGAAUAAUACUGUUUAAUAUCAUCAUGAUCUAAAAUGAUAAAACCAAUCAAUUAAAAGUUAAGAAUUGGUCUAGAUAAGAAAGCCAUGUGCAUUCAAUGCUGAAACUGUGCAUGAUUUUAUUAUCUGUUUUAACUGGUACGGUUACCCUGCAUGUUAUCUGUUUAAUUAAUGACAAAUGACAGACACCCUGGAAGUCCCUUAUGGUGACAUUUAGCCAAGCAAACUUAAGGUUAGAUCAGAAUGAUGUUCACUGAAGUUCAUCACUUUUGCUUCUCUGUUGUUGUACCAUGGUCCUAACAAACUGAGGUCAUAAACUAUCAGAGCUUUGGUGAGCUGCUUGUUUCAAAACUAAAAGGGUGAGGACUUAAAAUCAGACUGACAUGAAAGAGCUGAUCGCUGACAUAAACACACUGAAGAGCUUCAGCAGGAAAAUGUUUGAGCUGCAUUUGUUAAGGGUUGAGUGUCAGAGGAUGUUUGUGCUCUGAAUUAUUGAUGAAGCACCAUUAAUUAACUUUUCUCACAGUGUUUUUAUGUGAUGAAACCAGUCCAGUUAUCUCCCAUCUGCUGCAUCCUAUGUGUGUGUGUGUGUGUGUGUGUGUGUGUGUGUCAGUUUGAUCUGCUCAGUGUCUGCAUGAUGCAACACACAUACAAUAGCCAAUAACCCGCACACACACACUCCCUCACUUUGUUGAUGAAUGACAGUCAAACACUGCAGACGUGAAGCUCUUCAGUCAGAUCACACAGACUGAAAAAAACACCAAAACACUGUCGACUUCAGCUGAACUCUGAAGUCACAAACAGGUGAUUCAUGCUCACCUGAACUCUGAUCUGCUGCUGAGUGAAUAAUGUUUGCUCUCUGUUUGUCUUUUUGUUAGUGUCAGCAGAGUGAAGUGAGAUUGAGGAAGAGCCGCUUUAAGCCACUAGAGGGAGACAAACUCCACCAGCUCAGCAGGUCAGCUCUGACUCUCACACAGGGUCUGAUAUGUUGAAAAAGUGUCUCAGUUUGUCUCAUCCAUGGGUCAUAUCCUAAUCUUUUAAAAAAC
rnacentral:lncRNA from 1 species